rnacentral:snRNA from 1 species
AACACGGACCAAGGAGUC